AGGUAGCCUAGUGGUUAGAGCCUAGUGGGUAGAGCCUAGUGGUUAGUAUGGGGCGGCAGGUAGCCUAGUGGUUAGAGCCUAGUGGGUAGAGCCUAGUGGUUAGUAUGGGGCGGCAGGUAGCCUAGUGGUUAGAGCCUAGUGGGUAGAGCCUAGUGGUUAGUAUGGGGCGGCAGGUAGCCUAGUGGUUAGAGCCUAGUGGGUAGAGCCUAGUGGGUAGAACCUAGUGGUUAGUAUGGGGCGGCAGGUAGCCUAGUGGUUAGAGCCUAGUGGUUAGCAUGGUGCGGCAGGUAGCCUAGUGGUUAGAGCCUAGUGGUUAGUAUGGGGCGGCAGGUAGCCUAGUGGUUAGAGCCUAGUGGUUAGCAUGGUGCGGCAGGUAGCCUAGUGGUUAGAGCCUAGUGGUUAGUAUGGGGCGGCAGGUAGCCUAGUGGUUAGAGCCUAGUGGUUAGUAUAGGGCGGCAGGUAGCCUAGUGGUUAGAGCCUAGUGGUUAGAGCCUAGUGGUUAGUAUGGGGCGGCAGGUAGCCUAGUGGUUAGGGCCUAGUGGUUAGAGCCUAGUAGUUAGGGCCUAGUGGUUAGAGCCUAGUGGUUAGAGCCUAGUGGUUAGUAUGGGGCUGCAGGUAGCCUAGUGGUUAGAGCCUAGUGGUUAGUAUAGGGCGGCAGGUAGCCUAGUGGUUAGUAUAGGGCUGCAGGUAGCCUAGUGGUUAGUAUGGGGCGGCAGGUAGCCUAGUGGUUAGAGCCUAGUGGUUAGUAUAGGGCUGCAGGUAGCCUAGUGGUUAGAGUGUAGAGGCGGCAGGGUAUACUAGUGGUUAGAGCGUUUGGCCAGUAACUGAAAGGUUGCUGGAUCGAAACCCUGAGCUGACAAGGUAAAACAUCUGUCGUUUCUGCCCCUGAACAAGGCAGUUGUUGUUCAUAGGCUGUCAUUGUAAAUAAGUAUUGUUCUUAACUGACUUAGUUAAAUAAAAGGUUACAAUAGAAAAUCAUUUAAAUGAAAUGCCUGGGGUCUGUCUCUCCAGCUGCACUCAUCAGAGAGAGUCUGGGUCUGAGUAGCAGAACAGGAGUAGAGCCUACACUCAUCUCUCUCUCCCUCCUCCUACCUCAGAGCAUGUUAUGCACACCUGUUUGCCCUCUCUUCCUCUCUCAUAAACAUCCAGUAGAAUUCCCCUUGACUCUCUCAUAAAGUUCUGUAACGACCAUCUGAAGGAAUCCCAUGACAAGUGGCGAAUGCUGUCGGCCUAUUUUCCAGUCCUCUAUCGCUUUAGAACACGUUCUACUGUAGGACAGGCAACAUCAUGAAACACAACAUAGCAGAGGAAUGCCAGGGUUCCCACAGUGACCGUACGUACAUACCCCAACCAGAAGCCAUAGAUUACAGGCAACAUCAUGGAACACAACAUAGCAGAGGAAUGCCAGGGUUCCCACAGUGACUGUACGUACAUACCCCAACCAGAAGCCAUAGAUUACAGGCAACAUCCACACUGAGCUAAAGGGAAGAGCUGCCGCUUUCAAGGAGCGGGACUCUAACCCGGAAGCCUAUAAGAAAUCUGCUAUUCCCUCCAACGAACCACCAAACAGGCAAAGCGUCAAUACAGGACUAAGAUUGAAUCGUACUACACCGGCUCUGAUGCUUGUCGGAUGUGGCAGGGCUUGAAAACUAUUACAGACUACAAAGGGAAGCACAGCCGUGAGCUGCCCGGUGACACGAGCCUACCAGACGAGCUAAAUGACUUAUAUGCCUCCACAUUAUAGCCUCCACAUUGACUCUGUACCGUAACACCCUGUAUAUAGCCUUCACAUUGACUCUGUACCGGUACCCCCUGUAUAUAGCCUCCACAUUGACUCUGUACCGUAACACCCUGUAUAUAGCCUCCACAUUGACUCUGUACCGGUACCCCCUGUAUAUAGCCUCCACAUUGACUCUGUACCGUAACACCCUGUAUAUAGCCUCCACAUUGACUCUGUACCAUAACACCCUGUAUAUAGCCUCCACAUUGACUCUGUACCGGUACCCCCUGUAUAUAGCCUCCACAUUGACUCUGUACCGUAACACCCUGUAUAUAGCCUCCACAUUGACUCUGUAGCGGUACCCCCUGUAUAUAGUCUCCACAUUGACUCUGUACCGGUACCCCCUGUAUAUAGCCUCCACAUUGACUCUGUACCGGUACCCCCUGUAUAUAGCCUCCACAUUGACUCUGUACCGUAACACCCUGUAUAUAGCCUCCACAUUCACUCUGUACCG
ensembl:lncRNA